GACGAACGCUGGCGGCGUGCUUAACACAUGCAAGUCGAGCGGUAAGGCUCCUUCGGGAGUACACGAGCGGCGAACGGGUGAGUAACACGUGAGUAAUCUGCCCUUCACUUCGGGAUAACCGCCGGAAACGGUGGCUAAUACCGGAUACGACGCGCUUUCGCAUGAGAUGCGCGUGGAAAGUCUUAUCGGUGGAGGAUGUGCUCGCGGCCUAUCAGCUUGUUGGUGAGGUAACGGCUCACCAAGGCUUCGACGGGUAGCCGGCCUGAGAGGGUGACCGGCCACACUGGGACUGAGACACGGCCCAGACUCCUACGGGAGGCAGCAGUGGGGAAUAUUGGACAAUGGGCGAAAGCCUGAUCCAGCAACGCCGCGUGAGGGAUGACGGCCUUCGGGUUGUAAACCUCUUUCAGCACCGACGAAGCGAAAGUGACGGUAGGUGCAGAAGAAGGACCGGCCAACUACGUGCCAGCAGCCGCGUAACAC
rnacentral:rRNA from 1 species